GUGUCAGCCGCCGCGGUAAUACGAAGGGGGCUAGCGUUGUUCGGAAUUACUGGGCGUAAAGCGCACGUAGGCGGACUUGUCAGUCAGGGGUGAAAUCCCGAGGCUUAACCUCGGAACUGCCUUUGAUACUGCAAGUCUUGAGGAUGAGAGAGGUAAGUGGAACUGCGAGUGUAGAGGUGAAAUUCGUAGAUAUUCGCAAGAACACCAGUGGCGAAGGCGGCUUACUGGCUCAUUUCUGACGCUGAGGUGCGAAAGCGUGGGGAGCAAACAGGAUUAGAAACCCUGGUAGUCC
rnacentral:rRNA from 1 species